AUCAAUUGGCCAACAAUUAAGAAAGCACGU
rnacentral:misc_RNA from 1 species